rnacentral:rRNA from 1 species
AAUAGAUACCCCGGUAGUCCACGCCGUAAACGAUGUCGACUUGGAGGUUGUGCCCUUGAGGCGUGGCUUCCGGAGCUAACGCGUUAAGUCGACCGCCUGGGGAGUACGGCCGCAAGGUUAAAACUCAAAUGAAUUGACGGGGGGCCCGCACAAGCGGUGGAGCAUGUGGUUUAAUUCGAUGCAACGCGAAGAACCUUACCUACUCUUGACAUCCAGAGAACUUAGCAGAGAUGCUUUGGUGCCUUCGGGAACUCUGAGACAGGUGCUGCAUGGCUGUCGUCAGCUCGUGUUGUGAAUGUUGGGUUAAGUCCCGCAACGAGCGCAACCCUUAUCCUUUGUUGCCAGCGGUUAGGCCGGGAACUCAAAGGAGACUGCCAGUGAUAAACUGGAGGAAGGUGGGGAUGACGUCAAGUCAUCAUGGCCCUUACGAGUAGGGCUACACACGUGCUACAAUGGCAUAUACAAAGAGAAGCGACCUCGCGAGAGCAAGCGGACCUCAUAAAGUAUGUCGUAGUCCGGAUUGGAGU